AGUGAACGCUGGCGGUAGGCCUAACACAUGCAAGUCGAACGGCAGCACAGUAAGAGCUUGCUCUUACGGGUGGCGAGUGGCGGACGGGUGAGGAAUACAUCGGAAUCUACUUUUUCGUGGGGGAUAACGUAGGGAAACUUACGCUAAUACCGCAUACGACCUACGGUUGAAAGCAGGGGAUCUUCGUACCUUGCGCGAUUGAAUGAGCCGAUGUCGGAUUAGCUAGUUGGCGGGGUAAAGGCCCACCAAGGCGACGAUCCGUAGCUGGUCUGAGAGGAUGAUCAGCCACACUGGAACUGAGACACGGUCCAGACUCCUACGGGAGGCAGCAGUGGGGAAUAUUGGACAAUGGGCGCAAGCCUGAUCCAGCCAUACCGCGUGGGUGAAGAAGGCCUUCGGGUUGUAAAGCCCUUUUGUUGGGAAAGAAAAGCAGCAGGUUAAUACCCAGCUGUUCUGACGGUACCCAAAGAAUAAGCACCGGCUAACUUCGUG
rnacentral:rRNA from 1 species